UACGUAGGGUGCAAGCGUUGUCCGGAAUUAUUGGGCGUAAAGAGCUCGUAGGCGGUCUGUCGCGUCUGGUGUGAAAAUCCAGGGCUUAACCCUGGACCUGCAUCGGGUACGGGCAGACUAGAGUGCGGUAGGGGAGAUCGGAAUUCCUGGUGUAGCGGUGAAAUGCGCAGAUAUCAGGAGGAACACCGGUGGCGAAGGCGGAUCUCUGGGCCUUACCUGACGCUGAGGAGCGAAAGCAUGGGGAGCAAACAGG
rnacentral:rRNA from 1 species